GAAACUUGUUUCUCGGGUGGCGAGCGGCGGACGGGUGAGUAAUGCCUGGGAAAUUGCCCUGAUGUGGGGGAUAACCAUUGGAAACGAUGGCUAAUACCGCAUGAUGCCUACGGGCCAAAGAGGGGGACCUUCGGGCCUCUCGCGUCAGGAUAUGCCCAGGUGGGAUUAGCUAGUUGGUGAGGUAAGGGCUCACCAAGGCGACGAUCCCUAGCUGGUCUGAGAGGAUGAUCAGCCACACUGGAACUGAGACACGGUCCAGACUCCUACGGGAGGCAGCAGUGGGGAAUAUUGCACAAUGGGCGCAAGCCUGAUGCAGCCAUGCCGCGUGUGUGAAGAAGGCCUUCGGGUUGUAAAGCACUUUCAGUUGUGAGGAAGGUGGUGUUGUGAAUAGCAGCAUCAUUUGACGUUACCAACAGAAGAAGCACCGGCUAACUCCGUGCCAGCAGCCGCGGUAAUACGGAGGGUGCGAGCGUUAAUCGGAAUUACUGGGCGUAGAGCGCAUGCAGGUGGUUUGUUAAGUCAGAUGUGAAAGCCCCGGGCUCAGCCUGGGAAUUGCAUUUGAAACUGGC
rnacentral:rRNA from 1 species